rnacentral:lncRNA from 1 species
UCUUUAUUAAUAAUCAAGGCCGGGUAUCGUAUCGAUCUUAGCCUACUAAGUAGUGACUAGUAUUGAAAAUAACAUAUUACAUACGACCUGUCUGACGAUUGCAUCAAUAUAUAUUAAUGUGAAUAAUGAAGAGGCCGGCCGGCCGGCCAGGCUAAGAAAGAUCGAUGAACAGGACUAAUCCAGCAAGCACAGCCCCGACGGCGACGGCAGAUCUCAACCUCACGCAGUCGCUCAUCGGCAAUGGAUCUGGUGCGUGAGGAAAAUGUGGCG